rnacentral:rRNA from 1 species
AACGAACGCUGGCGGCAGGCUUAACACAUGCAAGUCGAGCGCCCCGCAAGGGGAGCGGCAGACGGGUGAGUAACGCGUGGGAACGUACCCUUUGCUACGGAAUAGCUCCGGGAAACUGGAAUUAAUACCGUAUGUGCCCUACGGGGGAAAGAUUUAUCGGCAAAGGGUCGGCCCGCGUUGGAUUAGCUAGUUGGUGGGGUAAUGGCCUACCAAGGCGACGAUCCAUAGCUGGUCUGAGAGGAUGAUCAGCCACAUUGGGACUGAGACACGGCCCAAACUCCUACGGGAGGCAGCAGUGGGGAAUAUUGGACAAUGGGCGCAAGCUUGAUCCAGCCAUGCCGCGUGAGUGAUGAAGGCCUUAGGGUUGUAAAGCUCUUUCACCGGAGAAGAUAAUGACGGUAUCCGGAGAAGAAGCCCCGGCUAACUUCGUGCCAGCCGCCGCAGUAAAAC